UAAGGAAUAUUGGUCAAUGGACGCAAGUCUGAACCAGCCAUGCCGCGUGAAGGAUGAAGGUCCUCUGGAUUGUAAACUUCUUUUAUCUGGGACGAAAACGGGAUUUUUAUCUCAAUUGACGGUACCAGAGGAAUAAGCACCGGCUAACUCCGUGCCAGCAGCCGCAGUAAUACGGAGGGUGCAAGCGUUAUCCGGAUUUAUUGGGUUUAAAGGGUCCGUAGGCGGACUUAUAAGUCAGUGGUGAAAGCCUGUCGCUUAACGAUAGAACUGCCAUUGAUACUGUAAGUCUUGAGUAUAUUUGAGGUAGCUGGAAUAAGUAGUGUAGCGGUGAAAUGCAUAGAUAUUACUUAGAACACCAAUUGCGAAGGCAGGUUACCAAGAUAUAACUGACGCUGAGGGACGAAAGCGUGGGGAGCGAACA
rnacentral:rRNA from 1 species